rnacentral:rRNA from 1 species
AUGACGCCACCGCCCGGAAACCCCGCACCUCAUCGGACCUCCCCGACCGCCUCCGCCCCGCACCUCUACCUCGCCUCGCCCCUGCGCCCCUCCCCGGCGCCCCGGCGCAUGUCGCCGACCACCACUGCCCGAGGUCCUCGCCGGAUCGCCCCACCGUCUUCGCCGUCGUCCAUGUCCUCCCCCUCGACGGACUUCCCCGCGCCUCGUCGGCGAACCCCUACAUCGGGGACCCCCAGACUGCCGGAGACCCCCAGUACGAAUACGGAGUUGACGACCCCUCUUUCUUGCCAGAGCAACCAGGGUUUUGCAGAAAAAGAAUAUCAAACGGAGUCCAAACGGAAUGAAACCUUCGGGAACGUGAUUUUCGGAACGAACAUGAUCCAGAGGACUUGGACCCUAUGUCAAGACAUCAACCAGGAGGCCACGAGGUAG